rnacentral:rRNA from 1 species
UACGUAGGGUGCAAGCGUUAAUCGGAAUUACUGGGCGUAAAGCGUGCGCAGGCGGUCUUGCAAGUCAGAUGUGAAAUCCCCGGGCUUAACCUGGGAACUGCAUUUGUGACUGCAAGGCUGGAGUACGGUAGAGGGGGAUGGAAUUCCGCGUGUAGCAGUGAAAUGCGUAGAUAUGCGGAGGAACACCGAUGGCGAAGGCAAUCCCCUGGACCUGUACUGACGCUCAUGCACGAAAGCGUGGGGAGCAAACAGG